rnacentral:rRNA from 1 species
AGUGAACGCUGGCGGUAGGCCUAACACAUGCAAGUCGAACGGCAGCACAGGAGAGCUUGCUCUCUGGGUGGCGAGUGGCGGACGGGCGAGGAAUACAUCGGAAUCUACUCUGUCGUGGGGGAUAACGUAGGGAAACUUACGCUAAUACCGCAUAUGACCUACGGGUGAAAGCAGGGGAUCUUCGGACCUUGCGCGAUUGAAUGAGCCGAUGUCGGAUUAGCUAGUUGGCGGGGUAAAGGCCCACCAAGGCGACGAUCCGUAGCUGGUCUGAGAGGAUGAUCAGCCACACUGGAACUGAGACACGGUCCAGACUCCUACGGGAGGCAACAGUGGGGAAUAUUGGACAAUGGGCGCAAGCCUGAUCCAGCCAUACCGCGUGGGUGAAGAAGGCCUUCGGGUUGUAAAGCCCUUUUGUUGGGAAAGAAAUCCAGCUGGCUAAUACCCGGUUGGGAUGACGGUACCCAAAGAAUAAGCACCGGCUAACUUCGUGCCAGCCGCCGCAGUAA